CAACACAAUCACAAAUUUUGUGCAAGGAUAUGUUCUUUCUAUUUUAUUACGUCAGAGAUAAAAACAAUUUAUGGUUAAAUAGAGCCACACCUCAAUCGAAAAUAUUAUAAAUUUUACUACUCCUUGAGUCCUUGUUUGUGUGUACGUGAGGCUGUCAGAGAGAAAAACAAAAAAAGAGGGAAAAACAUAUAGGGAGUUCAUCAAAGAAUCUGCUUUGUCAAAAUCUUCAACUACCAUUGAUUCGAUUCGGUGAUUGCAUUCCUUCGACGAUUAUUUCAUCUUUGCUAUUCUUGCAUUCGGAGUUAAGGUGAUCAAGGGGGCGUUGGGAAUGAGGGAAGAGCGUAGACUGAAGUGGAUCUAGCACCUUUGUUCUAGAGUUUAAUUUAUGAAUAAGCACUUUAUAUUAUAUAUAUAAAGACCUUUUUAUAUUUUGUCCAGUUGACUUUAGUUUGAAUUUGACUUGACUUUUGAAUAAGAUUAACGCCCAUUUGCCUUUAA